UAGGGAAUCUUCGGCAAUGGGGGGAACCCUGACCGAGCAACGCCGCGUGAGUGAAGAAGGUUUUCGGAUCGUAAAGCUCUGUUGUUAAGGAAGAACGAGUGUGAGAAUGGAAAGUUCAUGCUGUGACGGUACUUAACCAGAGAGGGACGGCUAACUACGUGCCAGCAGCCGCGGUAAUACGUAGGUCCCGAGCGUUGUCCGGAUUUAUUGGGCGUAAAGCGAGCGCAGGCGGUUAGAAAAGUCUGAAGUGAAAGGCAGUGGCUCAACCAUUGUAGGCUUUGGAAACUGUUUAACUUGAGUGCAGAAGGGGAGAGUGGAAUUACAUGUGUAGAGGUGAAAUGCGUAGAUAUAUGGAGGAACACCGGUGGCGAAAGCGGCUCUCUGUGCUGUAACUGACGCUGAGGCUCGAAAGCGUGGGGAGCGAACAGG
rnacentral:rRNA from 1 species